UCCAAAGGCCUCUACAUUUCUCCCCA
rnacentral:piRNA from 1 species